CCCAAUUGAUUGACGGUGCUUGCAUCUGAUUGAUUUUGGUUGCCAACGAGUGGCGGACGGGUGAGUAACACGUAGGUAACCUGCCCAGAAGUGGGGGACAACAUUUGGAAACAGAUGCUAAUACCGCAUAACAGCGUUGUUCGCAUGAACAACGCUUAAAAGAUGGCUUCUCGCUAUCACUUCUGGAUGGACCUGCGGUGCAUUAGCUUGUUGGUGGGGUAACGGCCUACCAAGGCGAUGAUGCAUAGCCGAGUUGAGAGACUGAUCGGCCACAAUGGGACUGAGACACGGCCCAUACUCCUACGGGAGGCAGCAGUAGGGAAUCUUCCACAAUGGGCGCAAGCCUGAUGGAGCAACACCGCGUGAGUGAAGAAGGGUUUCGGCUCGUAAAGCUCUGUUGUUAAAGAAGAACACGUAUGAGAGUAACUGUUCAUACGUUGACGGUAUUUAACCAGAAAGUCACGGCUAACUACGUGCCAGCAGCCGCGGUAAUACGUAGGUGGCAAGCGUUAUCCGGAUUUAUUGGGCGUAAAGAGAGUGCAGGCGGUUUUCUAAGUCUGAUGUGAAAGCCUUCGGCUUAACCGGAGAAGUGCAUCGGAAACUGGAUAACUUGAGUGCAGAAGAGGGUAGUGGAACUCCAUGUGUAGCGGUGGAAUGCGUAGAUAUAUGGAAGAACACCAGUGGCGAAGGCGGCUACCUGGUCUGCAACUGACGCUGAGACUCGAAAGCAUGGGUAGCGAACAGGAUUAGAUACCCUGGUAGUCCAUGCCGUAAACGAUGAGUGCUAGGUGUUGGAGGGUUUCCGCCCUUCAGUGCCGGAGCUAACGCAUUAAGCACUCCGCCUGGGGAGUACGACCG
rnacentral:rRNA from 1 species